CCUACGGGAGGCAGCAGUGAGGAAUAUUGGUCAAUGGGCGCGAGCCUGAACCAGCCAAGUCGCGUGAGGGAAGACGGUCCUAUGGGUUGUAAACCUCUUUUGUCGGGGAGCAAAAGACGCCACGCGUGGCGUUCCGAGAGUACUUGAAGAAAAAGCAUCGGCUAACUCCGUGCCAGCAGCCGCGGUAAUACGGAGGAUCGGAGCGUUAUCCGGAUUUAUUGGGUUUAAAGGGUGCGCAGGCGGAAGAUCAAGUCAGCGGUAAAAGUGAGAGGCUCAACCUCUUCGUGCCGUUGAAACUGGUUUUCUUGAGUGAGCGAGAGGUAUGCGGAAUGUGUGGUGUAGCGGUGAAAUGCAUAGAUAUCACGCAGAACUCCGAUUGCGAAGGCAGCAUACCGGCGCUCAACUGACGCUCAUGCACGAAAGUGUGGGUAUCGAACAGGAUUAGAUACCCGAGUAGUC
rnacentral:rRNA from 1 species